ensembl:lncRNA
AUGAACUCACACCCCGGAACAGACCUUCUGAAAGUAGAUCAGAGUGGAAGCAGAAGGAAGGAGGGAUUUAUUGGAAUAUUUUCACCUUUUAAGGGCUACAGUGCAAGAUCUUCCUUGAGUGGGUCUACUGCUGGGAGCAAGCAUGCACCAACACAUGCAAGAUCCCAUUCUCGGCUGACACCUGCAGCAAUGUCUGUGUUCCCCAUCGCAUGUAAGGGCUCAAGCUUUCUGAGGACACCGUGGGACAUUCAGGACAGUGCUGAGUUGCCCUCACUUCUCUCCGUUGGCUCCAGAGGAAACCAAGUUGAGGUUUUGGGUGAUUGUGUGGAGUCAGGAGUUGGACUUGAUGAUCCUUAUGGCUCCCUUCCAACAUGGGAUGUUGUGUCAUUCUAUGAUUCUUGUUACAUGGACUGACUCUAUCCCCACGAUGACAGCUUUACAGAAAAGCCAAGGCAAAGGCACCCAAACUAAACCUGAAGUGCCCAGCCUGCUGACACUGAGCUUCUUUGGCUCUGCUGCCACUGAACCUCUAUGGAAGUCGAUGGAGACAGUGAGGAGAUUCAUGGAUUCAAACAAGCUUUGGAUGAGUCCUUCAAAGCACCCCAGAAAUUCAGCCGUGUUUCCCCAGUUCUACUCUGCACAGAUCCACCAGGAAGGGAUGGAGGAAUUAUAUUAGCCCCAAAGUGCAGUGAAGCACCCCUGCUCCUCAUCCAACAGAUCCUGAAGGGCCAGACCCAAGUUUGUGGUUCUAUUGCUCUUCUGGAAUUGUGCUCUGGACCUGCAGAUUUCCAGGCAAGGCACAAAGCUUUUGCAUGGGCUCCAGAGGCCAGCUCAAGUCCGAGCCAUUCCCAGAACUGCUCGUCCCUGACCUCAGACAAGGCUCCACAUAGGACUUUCAGUUAUUUUUCUUUGAAGUAAAUGUCUCACAAGCACAAGGCAAUGGGGAGCAGCAUCUUUAUCAUCUGGAGAUAUCCACAUUUUUAUUACAUUUUCUUUCAGUUCUGAUUUUUUUCUCCAGAACCAGUUUAUCCAUUUCUUCUGGACUUGUACCUUGAAGGCAAGAGCUGCAGCACAAUGUGCGGCCAAUCUAUUCCAGAAAAAUGCCUUCACUACAGAACAUGAACUUCCCAUUAUAGAGGCUGCAUAUGUGCACUGAUUGAUCCCUAAACUGGCAUUUCAAUUUAUUUCCCACUGGAGAACUCAUUCAUUACAGAGAAAUAAGACUAUUAAAUGCAUGAUAAAGCACAUGCAUCAACAGACGAGAAUGGUGGUUACUUUAUUGUACCUAUCUAAACAAUAGCUGAUAAAUAAAGCCAUUCAUGAUCACAUAGGACCUUUUAAAAUGAAUAAGGAAACAGUAAUAUCCUCAUUAUUAAAGCAGCUGAUUAAAAGAAAUAGCUUGCCAGCAUUAACACCGCACACUUUGCUGCUGCAUCCCUGGCUGUGGGGCAGAGGCAGCUCAGAGGCACAGAUUGCAAGCAAGCUGCCUGCAACCUGCCCAAGUCCCAGCAGCCUGCAGAUGUGUGCAGCUGUGCUGAUGUGGCAGCAAGCUCUUACCUUCAGCAGCAGGGAAAGGCACCCAGAGGAGCCCCAAGAUGUUUUUUUCAAGAAUUAGAGCUUCCAUCCUUUUUAACAACUACAUUGACUUUCUACCCAACAGCCUCUGGGGAGAAGCAGAAUAGUGGUGCAGGUGUAGAAUUCUUUUAUACGUAUAUCAUAGAUCCAUGGAAUUGCUUAGGUUGGAAGGGACCUUAAAGACCAUGCAGCUCCCACCCCAUACAUACGUACAUAUACAUAGUUUUUUGACCUGUCAAAAAAGGAAAGGUAGAGAUGGCAAAGAAAGACAAGACAUGGAGAAAGGAAAACAAAGAGGAAAGGAGAAGUGGAUCUUUACGAAAAUCAAUAGAUACGUGUUGAAGUGGGAGAUAAGAGCAGUGGCUUUGAAGUUUCUUUGCAAAUCAAACCAAACUGGUUUUUCUCUGUCCAUUCUUGUGGACACUGAACGGUGCCACCGCUGCUGUAACAAUCCCAUAAAAAUUUAUGGCCAGAUUUCUUUCUCCAUCCCUUUCCUCCACUUUGACCAUGUCCUUAGAAGCCCAAGAUGCCAAUGCCAGGCUAAAUAGUCAUGACACAACUCAGCAGGUUUUCCAGAGCUCUAAUUGAAUUAUAAGCCAUCACUUCAUGGCCACAUGUAAAAAGCCCACACGUUCCUUGCCCAGCAUAGUCAGUUUUUGACCCAAUGGUGUGGCACUGGGCUGUGGACCAUGCAGGGACCACAUGGCCAGGUGACAUCUCAGCCCUGCAUAUUGGUGCUGCUGGGGCUGGGUCAGCACCCACAUUGCAAAUCUGCACCCAAGGAGCUCGUGUGCUGGUUGCAGUGAGACAGAGGGGGGAACCAGCAGCACAUAAAUGGCUGUUUCGGUCUCCCUCCUGAGAUAAAUCACUUAUCUGUUUUUUCUCACUGUGCACUGCAUGGCAGUUUAUGAAGCAGCUGUCUGAAAGGAAAUUUACUGGACAAUUAAAUGUGCUGACUUUCAAGCAGUGCUCUCGAGGUGGAGUCUGAAAUUAUUGGGUGUGAAAUGCAAAUAGAUUUAACAGUUUUACUGCUAUUUAUAUGACAUUCACCCAUUCCUAGCUGUUUUUCCUCCCCCCUCCUUUUUCUUUUNNNNNNNNNNNNNNNNNNNNNNNNNNNNNNNNNNNNNNNNNNNNNNNNNNNNNNNNNNNNNNNNNNNNNNNNNNNNNNNNNNNNNNNNNNNNNNNNNNNNUUUCCCCCUUCUCUCUGAGUUUAAACGGUCCCAACUUUCACAGGUUUUAACAACCUCAGACACAUGCAGUAAAACCUGAAGGGCGCUCCAAAGCUGAACAAACCCAGAUCAGUGGAGGGCAGGAGGAGGAAAACAAAUUCUAUCCCAAUCCCUUAACAAAAUAUUAAUUUAGAAAUAAGCCGGUAAUUACAUUCAGCUUUGGGUCUGCCCCACAGUCCUCUGAGGCAGUUCUUAUUCAAUAAGCUUUUGGCCAGCACCCAACCAACCUCCAACUUGCACAAUCACAAAUGGACCCGGUGAGCAGCUCUGGCUCUUGGGAGCCCUUCCCCAAGGAGUGCAAUGGAACAGCCCCAAAGAAAUCCCCUUCCCAAGGGCAUUCCCAUGAAGCACCUAUUUCCCAAACAUUCCCCUGAGGUUCAGCACGAUCUCUCAGAGCAAGGAUGGAGUUUUUAUGAGGCUUCAUUCCUUCCUGCUACAUUACAUUAAUGACCAAAACAGUCCACGGCUUAAUUAAAGAUUAACCGUUGAGAUCAGUAAAGCAAGAUUGCUUCUCCUGCUGUUUUUCAUCCCUUUACACUUCUUGCAGAGCUCUGCCUGGGACAAAGCAAAGCAGCCCCUCCAGCACUGUGCAGAAUGGAAGAUUUCCAUGCCUUUUGGCUCAUCUGAUUCCCUCAUUUAACUGAGGGCAGGCAUCUCCCUCCCAGAUCUCACUCUGUGAAAGGUGCCACUCUGCUACGCAGAGAUUUGCCAAGCUACCCUUUGUAGCAUGUAUCUUUUGUACCUUUUAGGGACUUCUUGUACCUGUAAUCUCUGGUGCUGCAAGAUUUACCACUGCUGAGGAGAAACACUUGCUGCUCAGAUAUCUUAGGCUGCUGUGAGCCCCUCUGUACCAAAACAAUCCUAAUCUCAGCCUGGCUUUGGGACAACAGUGCACAUUUUUUGUUUUGCUUACUGUGUCUAUGCUCGUGACCUUCAUUAUCUUUUGCAAAGCUGAUCAACAGCCUCCUCUGCCAGACUCUCCCAUCCCUGUGUUGUUGUGAAAUAUUAUCUGUUACUGCUUAAAAACCAAAUUCAUGAAUCAUAUUUGGUGGGUGAAGGACCCUUUGCUGGUUUGGUCAGACAGGCACAACUAUCCAUCUGUCCAACUGUCCACCUGUCCUGCUACCAUCAUGACCUCAGUUCUGCACAAUUAGCUCUAAUAAAUUGAUGCAUCUGCACAGAAAUCUACACAAAACUCACCCAUUCACCUCCCCACCUUAUAGAGAGUUCUACUCAUUUUGCUGGAUUUCUUUCUUGUCCUUUUCCUUGAAUACAGCCCUGGUGCAGCCAAGUCGUUCCAGCCUCGAUGAGACAGAUUUGGCAAACAUAAAUAUGGUUUGAUUGGAUUUAGUGUCACCAAGGGCUCAUUUACCAGCAUCCCUCCUAUGCCCUGGGGCUGAGCAGAGAGCUGAAGAGAAACCUUCAGUAGGUGUCCACUCUCCUGCUCCAAUCCAUCUCACAGGAAAUCUGAUGCACCACCCUCUGUUUGCAGCUGCAAUUAUAGAGAUGUGUUCAGGUUUUCUUCCACCUCUACAGAAACUGAAUCAGAUGUGGAGAAAAUGGAGCACUGUCUGGAAUGUGAAUGCCUUAUCCUCCACCCUUCCAUUACAGAGCUUGUAUUCCUGUAACUCACCCAUCAAGACAAACCUGCCAAGAUCUUUCUUUGCAAUCUAAUAAAUAACAAUAAUAAGCAUUCUACCAACUCAUAUUUCUGCAAGCUGGCAGUGAUUUAUAUUUUUGGCUCUUGCAUCUGAAAUAACUGAAAAUGUUCAAUGAGAUAAAUGAAAAAUCUUGCUUCUCGUUCUGAAGUGAAGUUUGCCAACCUGGAAGGUCUUUAAUAACGAUUUUCUGAUAAACAUACACUCACUGGUUCUCCUCUUGGCAGCUACAUUUUGAUUAAAUUCC